rnacentral:lncRNA from 1 species
AUCACCGUCCUCGUGAUGAUCCUUUGAUCAGGAGCAUUUAGAAAUUAAUCACCAAUGAUACAUGGCUCAAAUUCUCAACUCUUGAGAAUAUGUAUCAUCAUCUUAUUAAUUUCUUGGACGAUUCAUAGACACAUAAACAAUAUGAAUGAAAGGAUGCCUUUUAUUUAUUCAAUAAUAAAUAGUCAAGUACAAAAUUAUGUCCCUAGAAUCAACAAUGUGUCAGCCAAAUUGGCUUCUAGGGCAUACAUCUAACA